rnacentral:rRNA from 1 species
AACGAACGCUGGCGGCAUGCCUAACACAUGCGAGUCGAACGAGACCUUCGGGCCUAGUGGCGCACGGGUGCGUAACGCGUGGGAACCUGCCCUUAGGUUCGGAAUAACUCCCCGAAAGGGGUGCUAAUACCGGAUAAUGUCUUCGGACCAAAGAUUUAUCGCCUUUGGAUGGGCCCGCGUUGGAUUAGCUAGUUGGUAGGGUAAAAGCCUACCAAGGCGACGAUCCAUAGCUGGUCUGAGAGGAUGAUCAGCCACACUGGGACUGAGACACGGCCCAGACUCCUACGGGAGGCAGCAGUGGGGAAUAUUGGACAAUGGGCGAAAGCCUGAUCCAGCAAUGCCGCGUGAGUGAUGAAGGCCUUAGGGUUGUAAAGCUCUUUUACCCGGGAUGAUAAUGACAGUACCGGGAGAAUAAGCUCCGGCUAACUCCGUG